AGAAGCUCUCCGAUGUUAUUUCCUCCGAGUGGAUAGUCUUUUGGCUUUUGAAGGUCGCAUAUUUCACCUUCCUCCUCAUCUUCUCCCUCCUCUGCACAUCCGCAGUUGUGUAUGCGGUUGCCUGCGUGUACAGCGCCAAGCAAAUAACCUUCAAGAGGGUCCUGAGCGUAGUCCCAAAGGUGUGGAAGAGACUCAUGGUCACCUUCAUAUGGAACUUCGUCAUUGUUUUCUGCUACAACGUUGUCGCCGGGGUAGUUUUGUUCAUGUGGGCUAUCCUGAUAGGAAACAACGUCUUUGGACUCGUGAUCCUCCUCCUUCUCUUGAUCAUAUACGUCAUGGGGUUUGUGUA
rnacentral:lncRNA from 1 species